CCACUUCCUUCCGCCACUUCCUUCUGCCACUUCCUUCCUUCCCUGCAGUUCGUAUGUGGGACGACCAAGGACUUGUCACAAAGGGAAGGAAAUGCAUGAAAUCCUUUUGACCAAACACGGAUAAGUAUCCAGUGAAUUGGUCAUUCAAGCUCCUGUUAUUAGAUGCUUCUGGGCUGCAAUUCACUUCAUAUUGAAGCAGAAGUCCAUGAUAGGUCAGGGAAGAUGACCAGGCAUCUGCUCAGGGGGGAACUGAAAAAGCAAGCUAAGCAACUUAAACACUGCAGAUAUUACAGAAAAGGAAAGUAGCACACUGUCACAUCUUUGGAUCCUAGAAGACUUUCUCCAGACUUAAAUCUUUGUCAUGAGGCUGCAAUCCAGAUGAGAGGAUAGGCUGAAAACUCAGAAGGAAGAUAGAUUUUAAUUUAAUGAAUGGCUGAACCAAUGGAGGGAUGAAAAUACUGCAUACUGGAAUUUAAGAAGUUUUUGGUCUCCAGCAGAGCUUGAUCUCUUUCCCUGAAGUUAGCCAUGGUUCAGGUAUCUGCUUUAUGGACUAGCCCUGCUGUGAACUGCCACAACUCUGGCUGACUCUGCUCAGGGACAGCAUGGAUCUGGCUGGAUUUAUUAGCUCAGGCGCAAACGCAAAUAUGGUUAUGCUGCUGCCAAAGCCAGCUUAGGUACAAAAAGAGUCAAGUAUCCUUCAUAUGACAGAGAAAUGAAACAAGCUCGUGUCAUUUCAGCUGAUCCUGUGCUAGCCAGAAUGGAUGUUUCAGUACUGUGAUCCCAAAAUUAGAGGUAGAAAGGAGAGUGAUGCACUGCUAAUAAUUUAUUAAUGUUGA